UACGGAGGGUGCGAGCGUUGUCCGGAAUCACUGGGCGUAAAGGGCGCGUAGGCGGCCUGAUAAGUAGGGGGUGAAAUCCUGCGGCUUAACCGCAGGGCUGCCUUCUAAACUGUCAGGCUUGAGCACAGUAGAGGCAGGUGGAAUUCCCGGUGUAGCGGUGGAAUGCGUAGAGAUCGGGAAGAACAUCAGUGGCGAAGGCGGCCUGCUGGGCUGCUGCUGACGCUGAGGCGCGACAGCGUGGGGAGCAAACAGG
rnacentral:rRNA from 1 species